rnacentral:tRNA from 1 species
UCCCUGGCAGUCCAGAGGUGAGGACUCUGUGGUUCUACUGCAGGGGCACAGGUUCAAUCCCUGUUUGGGGAA